rnacentral:tRNA from 5 species
GGGGUGGAGCAGUUCGGUAGCUCGUCGGGCUCAUAACCCGAAGGUCGCAGGUUCAAAUCCUGCCCCCGCAACCA